GGCCCGCUAGCUCAAUUGGCUAGAGCAACGGACUCUUAAUCCGUAGGUUCUCGGUUCGAUCCCGAGGCGGGUCACCA
rnacentral:tRNA from 1 species